GACGAACGCUGGCGGCGUGCUUAACACAUGCAAGUCGAACGGUGAACGAGGGAGCUUGCUCCCUCCGGAUCAGUGGCGAACGGGUGAGUAACACGUGAGCAAUCUGCCCCGAACUCUGGGAUAAGCGUUGGAAACGACGUCUAAUACCGGAUACGACGCGGGAGGGCAUCCUCUCCGCGUGGAAAGAACUUCGGUUCGGGAUGAGCUCGCGGCCUAUCAGCUUGUUGGUAAGGUAACGGCUCACCAAGGCGACGACGGGUAGCCGGCCUGAGAGGGUGACCGGCCACACUGGGACUGAGACACGGCCCAGACUCCUACGGGAGGCAGCAGUGGGGAAUAUUGCACAAUGGGCGCAAGCCUGAUGCAGCAACGCCGCGUGAGGGACGGCGGCCUUCGGGUUGUAAACCUCUUUUAGCAGGGAAGAAGCGAAAGUGACGGUACCUGCAGAAAAAGCACCGGCUAACUACGUG
rnacentral:rRNA from 1 species